rnacentral:rRNA from 1 species
AAUCAACGCUGGCGGCGUGCCUCAGACAUGCAAGUCGAACGAUUAAAGCUCUCUUCGGAGAGUGUAUAGAGUGGCGCACGGGUGAGUAACACGUAAGUAAUCUACCCUCGAGUGGGGAAUAACGUCCGGAAACGGACGCUAAUACCGCAUAAUGCAGCGGCACCGCAAGGUGACAGUUGUUAAAGGAGAAAUUCGCUUGAGGAGGAGCUUGCGGCAGAUUAGCUUGUUGGUAAGGUAACGGCUUACCAAGGCUACGAUCUGUAACCGGUCUUAGAGGACGGUCGGUCACACUGACACUGAAUAACGGGUCAGACUCCUACGGGAGGCAGCAGUCGGGAAUUUUGGGCAAUGGGCGAAAGCCUGACCCAGCAACGCCGCGUGAAGGAUGAAGUAUUUCGGUAUGUAAACUUCGAAAGAAUAGGAAGAAUAAAUGACGGUACUAUUUAUAAGGUCCGGCUAACUACGUGCCAGCAGCCGCGGUAAU